rnacentral:rRNA from 1 species
GACGAACGCUGGCGGCGUGCUUAACACAUGCAAGUCGAACGGAAAGGCCCUGCUUUUGUGGGGUGCUCGAGUGGCGAACGGGUGAGUAACACGUGAGUAACCUGCCCUUUACUUUGGGAUAACUUCAGGAAACUGGGGCUAAUACCGGAUAGGAGCUCCUGCUGCAUGGUGGGGGUUGGAAAGUUUCGGCGGUUUGGGAUGGACUCGCGGCUUCUCUGCUUGUUGGUGGGGUUGUGGCUUACCAAGGCUUUGACGGGUAGCCGGCCUGGGAGGGUGACCGGCCACAGUGGGACUGAGGUACGGCCCAGACUCCUACGGGAGGCAGCGGUGGGGAAUAUUGCACAAUGGGCGGAAGCCUGAUGCAGCAACGCCGCGUGCGGGAUGACGGCCUUCGGGUUGUAAACCGCUUUCGCCUGUGACGAAGCGUGAGUGACGGUAAUGGGUAAAGAAGCACCGGCUAACUACGUG